rnacentral:rRNA from 1 species
UACGUAGGGUGCAAGCGUUGUCCGGAAUUAUUGGGCGUAAAGAGCUCGUAGGCGGUCUGUCGCGUCUGCUGUGAAAACUCAGGGCUUAACCCUGAGCUUGCAGUGGGUACGGGCAGACUAGAGUGCGGUAGGGGGAGACUGGAAUUCCUGGUGUAGCGGUGAAAUGCGCAGAUAUCAGGAGGAACACCGGUGGCGAAGGCGGGUCUCUGGGCCGAUACUGACGCUGAGGAGCGAAAGCGUGGGGAGCGAACAGG